UACGAAGGGGGCUAGCGUUGUUCGGAGUUACUGGGCGUAAAGGGCGCGUAGGCGGCGCACCAAGUCAGGCGUGAAAGCCCUGGGCUCAACCCGGGAAUUGCGCUUGAGACUGGAGUGCUUGAGUACGGGAGAGGAUAGUGGAAUUCCCAGUGUAGAGGUGAAAUUCGUAGAUAUUGGGAAGAACACCGGUGGCGAAGGCGGCUAUCUGGACCGUAACUGACGCUGAGGCGCGAAAGCGUGGGGAGCAAACAGG
rnacentral:rRNA from 1 species